UACGGAGGGGGCUAGCGUUGUUCGGAUUUACUGGGCGUAAAGCGCACGUAGGCGGCUUUGUAAGUUAGAGGUGAAAGCCCGGGGCUCAACCCCGGAACUGCCUUUAAGACUGCAUCGCUUGAACGUCGGAGAGGUGAGUGGAAUUCCGAGUGUAGAGGUGAAAUUCGUAGAUAUUCGGAAGAACACCAGUGGCGAAGGCGGCUCACUGGACGACUGUUGACGCUGAGGUGCGAAAGCGUGGGGAGCAAACAGG
rnacentral:rRNA from 1 species